rnacentral:rRNA from 1 species
UACGUAGGGCGCAAGCGUUAUCCGGAAUUAUUGGGCGUAAAGAGCUCGUAGGCGGUUUGUCGCGUCUGCCGUGAAAGUCCGGGGCUCAACUCCGGAUCUGCGGUGGGUACGGGCAGACUAGAGUGAUGUAGGGGAGACUGGAAUUCCUGGUGUAGCGGUGAAAUGCGCAGAUACCAGGAGGAACACCGAUGGCGAAGGCAGGUCUCUGGGCAUUAACUGACGCUGAGGAGCGAAAGCAUGGGGAGCGAACAGG